rnacentral:rRNA from 1 species
UACAGAGGGUGCGAGCGUUAAUCGGAAUUACUGGGCGUAAAGCGCGCGUAGGCGGCUUCGCAAGUCGGGUGUGAAAUCCCCAGGCUUAACCUGGGAACUGCAUUCGAGACUGCAUUGCUAGAGUAUGGGAGAGGGAAGUGGAAUUUCCGGUGUAGCGGUGAAAUGCGUAGAUAUCAGGAGGAGCACCAAUGGCGAAGGCAGAUCUCUGGGCCGUAACUGACGCUGAGGAGCGAAAGUGUGGGGAGCGAACAGG